AUGAACGCUGGCGGCGUGCCUAAUACAUGCAAGUCGAACGGGGAGUAGCAAUACUCUUAGUGGCGAACGGGUGAGUAACGCGUUGGUACCUGCCCCGAAGCGGGGGAUAACGGACCGAAAGGUCCGCUAAUACCCCAUGUGCUCGGUAACGAGUAAAGGUGAAAACCACUUUGGGAGGGGCAUGCGUCCCAUCAGCUAGUUGGUAAGGUAACGGCUUACCAAGGCGAUGACGGGUAGGGGACCUGAGAGGGUGGCCCCCCACAAUGGAACUGAAACACGGUCCAUACACCUACGGGUGGCAGCAGUAGGGAAUAUUGGUAAUGGGCGCAAGCCUGAACCAGCAACGCCGCGUGUGCGAUGACGGCCUUCGGGUUGUAAAGCACUUUUGACUGGGACGAGGAAGGACGGUACCGGUCGAAUCAGCCUCGGCUAACUACGUG
rnacentral:rRNA from 1 species